UCGGCUGAAACUAAUCAGUGAUGAAACUACCAAAGCUUCCCUUCCUAACCUUCACCUUAGCUCUCAGUUUUGGUCAGCUAAAGAAUGUGGAAAUGGGGAGUCAUCCGGCUGCUCCUUCCCCCUUCCGAUCGUCACGUUAAAAGGCCCUGAGUUCUCUUCUUCUUCUUUGUUUUUUUCUUACACCCUUACUCACCGUUUGUGGCUGUACAGAAAUCAGGAAUACUC
rnacentral:lncRNA from 1 species